UCUCUCUCUCUCUUCCUCUAUUUCCCCAUUUCACCAUCUCGGAUCUAGGGUUUUAUUAGGUAGAUAGCAAUUGAUUUAAGGUACUGAACAAUUUAAGAAUAUUAUUAGUAGGUAAGUUAAUGGAAAAUUUUAGGACUCAAUUCCGUGAAGUCCUCUUCGCUUGAUAGGAUUGAAAUUUGCUCUGUAUUCUACAUAUGGGUUUUAACUUUUUUAUUAUUUUUUGAGUUUUAUAUUUCAAAUCCUACUCAAUUUAAGCAAAUGGGUUUCAAUUUGAUUUGUUUUUUUAUUAUAAAAAAAUGGCCUUGCUUUGAUUUGGUGGGGGUAGUGAUUUUUGUGAUCCUAAUAGCUAUUCGUGCUCAUGAUUGAAUGAUUUUGAGUUUUUUAUGCAUAACAAAAGCUUGAGUCACUGUGUAAUCUCAUCCUCCUUUUUGUUUUCUGAAUUUGAAUUUGAGGGCUUAACUGUGUGUAAGUAUUUACCUUCACAGAGAUGUAUGAAUUUGAAUAAUAAAGAAAGGGAAAAAAAAAGUAUUACUUAUUAUGGACCUCCUAGUUACACUGCUCUGUUUGUUCUCCAAGAAUGUGACAGUCAUCAAAGUAAGGCUGAUUUCUGCAAUGAUUUAUAUAGAUGCAAGAUACUUAAGUUUGAUAAGGAAUUUGUGAAUUGUCUUCUUCAUCAUUGUCAUUGAUCUACAACUCAGGAGUUUUGGAUCUUUCCUUUUUCUAUGUUGAGAAUCUCAUCAGUCAUGCUGAUCAACAUUGACUUGCUGUCAAACCAAUAUAGCCUCCUUAUUUACUGAGCUUUUUUACAUUGAUAAUCCUGGACAAAAUUAAUUUGGUCAGAAAUAGACAGUUGAUGGUUUGCGACUGUUAUGCUGGAAAAUGGAAACCAGUUGAGUUUUCAAGUUCUUAAUGUGCUUACACUCAAAGGAGUAUUUAAUUAGGAUACAAUAACUCUAUGCAUUGUAGCUUCCCCUGUACGAAGUUGUUCUUAUGUUUUUACAUUUGGGAGUGGCCACUGGGGCAGUUACCUACCUACCUUGGGUUUGUUGAAUAAUAAAAUGAUAUGUUGAAUAAUUGAACUGUAAGAUUUUGAUUGUAUUUGGUCCUAGUUAUUAUAAGACUUCAAUUGGUACAUCACAAUAAACAACUUGGACAGCUGAACUUCCCAUUGCUUAAGAGGAAGAAAAAAAAUCUGCAGAAAACACAGGACUAAAAAUUAUAGGCAGGUUUGCCACAAUUUGGUGGCAUAACAAUAACACCUACCUGCUGUCAUAUAUAUUUUUUCUUAUAUGAAGGAUUUUUGAUAGAUGGUGCUUACAUAUUCCCAUUAUGGAUCGAACACCAUUUACAGGUUUCUGUCCCUCUUAAUAAUGCAGUCAUAAAAAAGUGGCCAAAUUCAGGUGCAUCUGGACAUCCAUUGGGAACUGGAUAUUUACAUUUUUGUGCUCCCAUAGUUUGGAGUGGAUUUUACUUUGGUCCUUAUAGUUUUAAUUGUAAUGUAUUGAACUUCAUAUUUUUUAAUUGGUUUCAAUUAGGUCCAACUGUUAAUUGUUGUUAGCGAUUUGGAUGCAAAAAAUACAUGUCAAUAUCAAAUAACUUUCUUUGAUCAUGUGAAGCCCUCAUGAAUCUCACGUGGAUCACAUGGAACUGAAGUGGAACUCAAGUGUAUUUAAUUCUUGUCUAAAUUCUUAAGGUGAAGUUGACAAUUAAACUUAAUAUACACAACAAUGUGUCAUACUUGAAACUAUGAACACUAAAUGUUUUGAUGGGAUCGUGGACAUAAUCUCUUCGAGGAUGCCUUGCACUUGCAGUUGCUGCUCAUAAUCCUGAUAUUGAUUUUGUCAAACCCAGCUACAUGUUUUAACAAGUCUCAGCUGCAACCUCUACUACACUUAUUACAAAUCAUGCCUAAGCAGUUCCUUCCUGGCUUGCCUUAUACGCUGAGUUCAAUUUCAGGAGAAACUUUGAUGGAGAGGUUGCAAAACAAGAUUUUCACUAUCCACUAAUUCUACCAAAAUUUCCAGGCCAUUUCUAUUACUUUUUUGGCAAGCCAAUUGAAACAGAAGUUUUUGGGUGGAUGGGUUAUAUUCGCAGAGUAGGCUAGACCAAGACCACAACCUACUCAGUUCAAGAACAAUGCUGGAUCACCACCUCUUGGAUAUGGGUCUCCAUAUGGUUGUCAGUGAAUUAUUAGUGGAAGAAGCUGGUCAUUUUAAAGAUAUCAGAUUGUUUUGACAGCAAUUGUGCUUACUCUCAGUUCUUUAUUUUGACUUGCUGAGAGCCGAGUCUAGCCUUAUAUGAAUCUGAGCAGAGAUUGAAUUGAGAAAUAUAGACUUGAAUUGCUACAUGUUAAGACAUUUUUGUGUAGACUAUUUGCAUCUGCUAUUCAUGAAUAUCCUGUGACAAUUUAUACUAAUGAGACUGCAUUAAGACACUUCAAAUUUAUGCAUGUUGGGACCUCCUCGGAGCCAUCGUUUCCUUAUGUUUCCAAAUUUUAACAAUUAGAUAUUAAUUUUGUUUAAUCCUCUGUUAUGUAUGGAAUUAUAUUU